CUACUCUGGCAUUUCCACCAAACCAUUUAGUGUACGGAAACGUUUCUUCCCCUUCUCACGAUCGGUCAAUCAAAUAGAUUUCGAAUAAUAUAAUCCUCUGUUUCAUUCCUCUCUGCUCCGUCUCAUUUGAACUUCGAUUUUAAUUCAUUAGACUUUUAUUGUAUAUGCUCUGAUUAAAUGGGAAAGCCGACGGCGAAGAAGAAACAUCCGGAGACUCCCAAAGAUGCUUCCGGCGGCGGCGGAGCCAAGUCAGGGAAGACUUACCAUCGUUCUACUACUUCGAGGGCCUUUGACGAAGAUAUGGAGAUUUUCAUCGGCAGAGCACUUGAGCUCAAAGAAGAAGGCAACAAGCUCUUCCAGAAACGCGACCACGAAGGAGCGAUGCUGAGUUUCGACAAGGCCUUGAAGCUCUUGCCUAAGGAUCAUAUCGAUGUAGCUUAUCUCAGAACGAGCAUGGCUUCUUGUUAUAUGCAAAUGGGAUUAGGCGAGUAUCCCAAUGCUAUUAGCGAAUGUAAUCUGGCAUUGGAGGCUUCUCCUAGGUACAGUAAGGCCUUGCUGAGGCGUUCUCGGUGUUACGAGGCUUUGAAUAAGUUGGACUACGCGUUUAGGGAUGCUCGUAUUGUUUUGAAUAUGGAGCCCGAAAAUGUCUCUGCCAACGAAAUCUUUGAUAGGGUGAAGAAAGUGUUGGUAGAUAAAGGUGUUGAUGUGGAUGAAAUGGAGAAGAACUUCGUUAAUGUUCAGCCUGUUGGCGCUGCUCGUUUGAAGAAGAUUGUUAAGGAGAGGUUGAGGAAUAAGAGGAAGAAGAAGAAGAGCGCUGGAAAGGAUGAGCAACUUUUGAAGAGCAAGGUUGAGAGUCCAAAGGUUGUUGACAAGGGAGACCAAGCGGAGAGCAGAAAUAAGCUGAAGGAGGAAAAGAACGAUAGGUUCGAGAUUGAUGGGAAGAUUAAUGGCGAUAGAGAAUAUAAGAAAACAAGUUUCAAGGGUGAUAAAGGACAGAAAAAGAAAAAUGGUGGUAAUAAGGCAGGGGAAGAGAGGAAGCUGGAGGAUAAGGUUGUUGUCAUGGACAAAGAGGUCAUUGCCUCUGAGAUUGUUGAAGGCGGAGGAAACACAAAAGAAGAGGCGGCAAAAGUUACUAGGACUGUCAAGCUGGUACACGGAGAUGAUAUAAGGUGGGCACAGUUGCCACUGGAUUCUAGUGUUAGACUUGUAAGAGAUGUAAUCAGGGAUCGCUUUCCUGCUCUUAGGAGUUUCCUCAUUAAAUAUAAGGAUACAGAAGGUGAUUUGGUAACCAUUACCACGACAGAUGAGCUGAGACUAGCUGCUUCUACUCAUGAUAAACUUGGCUCCCUUAGGUUAUAUAUAGCAGAGGUUAACCCCGACCAAGAACCAACCUAUGACGUCAUGAGCAAUACUGAAUCAACUGACAAGGUUGCCAAGAGAUUGAGCAGCCUUGCGGACAAUGGAAGUGUCGGAGUAUACAUGGAGUCUGACAAAGCAUCUACGUGCUUUGAGAACUGGAUUUUCCAGUUUGCGCAAUUGUUCAAGAACCAUGUUGGGUUUGAUUCUGAUUCGUACUUGGACCUUCAUGACCUUGGGAUGAAGUUGUAUACAGAAGCAAUGGAGGAUGCUGUCACUGGUGAAGAUGCGCAAGGACUCUUUGAAAUCGCUGCUGAUAAGUUCCAAGAAAUGGGUGCACUAGCUUUGUUUAACUGGGGUAACGUUCACAUGUCCAAGGCAAGAAAGCAGGUCUGUUUUCCUGAGGAUGCCUCGAGAGAAGCUAUAAUAGAAGCGGUUGAGGCUGCAUUUGUGUGGACACAGAACGAGUACAACAAAGCUGCUGAGAAAUACGAAGAAGCGAUUAAGGUUAAACCUGAUUUUUACGAAGCUCUUCUAGCACUUGGGCAAGAGCAGUUUGAACAGGCCAAGCUUUGCUGGUAUCAUGCACUCAAAACCAAGGUAGACUUAGAAAGUGAGGCCUCCCAGGAGGUCCUGAAGCUCUAUAACAAAGCUGAAGAUAGUAUGGAGAGGGGUAUGCAGAUUUGGGAAGAGAUGGAAGAACGUCGUCUAAAUGGAAUCUCCAAGCUAGAUAAACAUAAAAACAUGUUGCGGAAGAUGGAGUUGGAUGAAUUGUUUAGCGAAGCUUCAGAAGAAGAAACUGUGGAGCAGACAGCUAAUAUGAGUUCUCAGAUUAACCUCUUGUGGGGUUCGUUGCUAUAUGAACGGUCUAUUGUGGAGUACAAGCUCGGAUUACCAACAUGGGAUGAAUGUUUGGAGGUUGCAGUGGAGAAAUUUGAACUAGCUGGAGCUUCUGCAACUGAUAUAGCUGUGAUGGUAAAGAAUCAUUGUUCAAGCGAGGGUGCCCUUGAAGGUAUGGGAUUCAAGAUUGACGAAAUAGUACAGGCAUGGAACGAGAUGUAUGAUGCCAAGAGAUGGCAGAUGGGUGUACCAUCUUUCCGGCUAGAACCGAUGUUCCGAAGACGAUCCCCGAAACUGCAUGAUAUCUUAGAGAAUGUAUUUUCAGGGCCUGCUUGACCAAAAUAUUGUUCUCAUGUACACACACAGAUAUCAGCUGCCAUCAGAUUUUGUGUAUCACUAGGCACUUUGUUUGUUAUUGGGGGUGGGGUGUGCAUUUUUUCUCCUCACUAUUGGUAUGGUUUUGUCAUUUUUCCAAAGCAAUAUUCUUUUUGGGAUUUCCACGGGGAUAUAUACUCUUGGCCUCUGCGGUUUUGAUGUGGUGGCCGAGACUGAUUGAGAUUCAGUCAAGAGAAGAAGGUUAGAAGGGCUAAUCCUCUUCUCUUCAGAUUGAUUCAAUAUUGGUUAUUUGUUGUUCUUUGUUUUGUUUGGUUCUAUACCAUAGCUCUGUAUUCUUUGUUGUUCAGUUGGAUUAGUUUAUAUUCUAUUCGUGAUUGUUGUGUGAAUAUCUGCGUCGCUUGAAAGAGAUUCAGACUUUAUUUUAAUUUCUUCGAUGUCA